rnacentral:rRNA from 1 species
AAGACGUAGGGAGCGAGCGUUGUCCGGAUUCAUUGGGCGUAAAGCGCGCGUAGGCGGCCACGCAAGUCGGUUGUGAAAUCCCGGGGCUCAACCCCGGGACUGCGUCCGAUACUGCGUGGCUCGAGGCAGGUAGGGGAGAUCGGAAUUCCUGGUGUAGCGGUGAAAUGCGCAGAUAUCAGGAGGAACACCGGUGGCGAAGGCGGAUCUCUGGGCCUGUCCUGACGCUGAGGCGCGAAAGCUAGGGGAGCGAACAGGA